GCCGUUGCCCUUUGAAGAGUUUCAUUUUUCUUCAAAAAGCGCCGCCGCUUCUGAAGUGGUUCCGGGUAACCAAAAGUUCACCCCUCAGUCGUCCAGCGACUUCCCGCGGGCGCACAGACCCUCGCGAUAAGACUGGGCGGGCGUUCUCCCCGGAGUCUCGCGAGACCUUGUGCAGUGGGCGGGCCCUCGGGAGAGCUGGGGUUCUCGAGCUGCUUCGUGCGAGACUCGCGGGCCCGGAGGGGCGGGGCUUGGUCGAGGCGGGCUCCGUGAGGCGGGGGCGGAACCCGGCCGAGGGGCCGUCGGGGAAUGGCCGGGUGAAGACUGCACCACAAACGUCCCCAGGGCCGGCAGAAGCCUCCUGGCUGAAUGCGGUAGCACCAGGCCCAAGCCCCAGCCCCCAGGCUCCCCCCAGAGUUGGCACCAGAGCUCCUCUCCAGCUGUGAAGUGGAAAAUGUAUCCAGAUUUUCUCCUGGUAGGCAAAGAGCCCUCCUGAUAGGCAAAGAGCCCUCUGCUUCACCCCUU